rnacentral:lncRNA from 1 species
GAUUUUAAUCUAUGGAUUCAACGAUUUCCAUGUUGUUCAUCCAUGAUUAUUUUUAUCGAUAUAUUGAUAGUAUUUCGCCGCGUUUCGGUUAAUCGCAUAUGACAUUUCAAUUAUUGUCAACAUGCGCAUACCGGCUUUGAGCACAUUAUUUAGGUUUUAUGUGUCCCUCAAUUUUCAUCCGUACAAAUCCCGAUUUUACCUUUUUUUCGAUUUAAUUUUUAAGUGUGUUGUAGAUAUGAUUUGUUGUGUUAUUUUCUUCACAUGGCUUACUCUUGGGCCUUCUUACAAUGAGACAGUUCCUUUGCACUUACACUCAUACAUUGCAUUAUUUAUUGUUUGGACCCGAUUUAAUCAUUCCAAUACUUUGA